AUACGUAGGGGGCAAGCGUUAUCCGGAUUUACUGGGUGAAACGGGAGCGUAGACGGCGAUGCAAGUCUGAAGUGAAAACCCGGGGCUCAACCCCGUGGACUGCUUUGGAAACUGUGUUGCUGGAGUGCAGGAGAGGUGAGUGGAAUUCCUAGUGUAGCGGUGAAAUGCGUAGAUAUUAGGAGGAACACCAGUGGCGAAGGCGUCUCACUGGACUGUAACUGACGUUGAGGCUCGAAAGCGUGGGGAGCAAACAGGAUUAGAUACCCGGGUAGUCCACGCCGUAAACGAUGAAUGCUAGGUGUCGGGGGGCAAAGCCCUUCGGUGCCGCCGCUAACGCAUUAAGCAUUCCACCUGGGGAGUACGUUCGCAAGAAUGAAACUCAAAGGAAUUGACGGGG
rnacentral:rRNA from 1 species